rnacentral:rRNA from 1 species
ACUCUGGAACUGCCAUCAAAACUUUUCAGCUAGAGUUUGAUAGAGGAAAGCAGAAUUUCUAGUGUAGAGGUGAAAUUCGUAGAUAUUAGAAAGAAUACCAAUUGCGAAGGCAGCUUUCUGGAUCAUUACUGACACUGAGGAACGAAAGCAUGGGUAGCGAAGAGGAUUAGAUACCCUCGUAGUCCAUGCCGUAAACGAUGUGUGUUAGACGUUGGAAAUUUAUUUUCAGUGUCGCAGCGAAAGCGAUAAACACACCGCCUGGGGAGUACGACCGCAAGGUUAAAACUCAAAUGAAUUGACGGGGACCCGCACAAGUAGUGGAGCAUGUGGUUUAAUUCGAAGAUACGCGCAGAACCUUACCAACACUUGACAUGUUCGUCGCGACUUUAAGAGAUUAAAGUUUUCGGUUCGGCCGGACGAAACACAGGUGCUGCAUGGCUGUCGUCAGCUCGUGUCGUGAGAUGUUGGGUUAAGUCCCGCAACGAGCGCAACCCUCACUUUUAGUUGCCAUCAUUUAGUUGGGCACUCUGAAAGAACUGCCAGUGAUAAGCUGGAGGAAGGUGGGGAUGACGUCAAGUCCUCAUGGCCCUUACGUGUUGGGCUACACACGUGCUACAAUGGUAUCUACAACAGGAAGCAAGACGGCGACGUUAAGCAAAUCCCUAAAAGAUACCUCAGUUCGGAUUGCACUCUGCAACUCGAGUGCAUGAAGCUGGAAUUACUAGUAAUCGUGGAUCAGCGUGCCACGGUGAAUGCGUUCCCGGGUCUUGUACACACCGCCCGUCACACCAUGGGAGUUGGUUCUACCUUAAGGCAAGGUUUUAAACCCUUGACCACGGUAUAGUCAGCGACUGGGGUGAAGUCGUAACAAGGUAGCC